GGUCUGGGCCCAGCCAACAGAGGGCGGAGCAGAGCCAGGUACAGAACGUUCCCCGCUCCCCACUGGCCCCGAAUCCUCAGGACUGGACACGGCCCCUGGUCUGCUCAAGGUCUGGACACAGUGCCUGACUUGAUGCGACCAUCAGCAACUUCCUGGACCGCUUUCCCCACCUGUGACCCAGAGAGAGUAGUAGUCCGUGUUACUAGAAAUGAUUCCUGACUCUGUGUCCCCUUGGGAGUUCAACUGAAACCUAGAUUCCAGGGCUUUGCCUAAGACCCUUCUCCAUGGGGCCCAGGAGAGCAUUUUCCAGAAACAACACGAACCACACCCCAGCUCUUCAGGUUGCAGGACUGACUGAGCUGCCAGCAGGAUGGACUGAGCCGUAACCAGGCCCCACCCUCUCCACCUUGCUCCCACACUCCCGCCACACUUCUAAUCCUUCCCAGAUACUUUGCCUGAGCCUCCGCACGUGGUCUUCCUCAGGCCACACCUGGCACUCCCUUCACCUGCAUCUUCCUACGUGGCUUCCACGCAGGAAGCAUCUCGUCUGGAACCCAAGGACACCUUCUCACUGAGCCCCUUCUGAGCUUCCACUGCACUCUCCCCCUGGGUUCUGCCCUAUAGUCACGUGUGUCAGAGUUGCCUGUUUCCUGGUUAGCUCAGUUGACUAGAGCGUGGUGCAAUUAAUGCCAAGGUCGUGGGUUCAAUUCCUGUACAGUCCACAGAGGCGACUCACAUUUUGGGUUUCCCUGAUGGCCCAUACAGUGAAGAAUCCACCUGCAACGCAGAAGACCUGGGUUUGAUUCCUGCGUCAGGAAGAUCCCCUGAAGAAGGGAAUGGUGACCCACUCCAGUAUUCUUGCCUGGAGAAUUUCAUGGACAGAGAAGCUUGGCAAGCUACACCAUCCGUGGGGUCAAAAAGAGUUGUACACGACUGAACACACACUUCCCUUCCCCCAUCAAAGGCCAGGGCACUCCUCAGGCCUGUGUGGUUAGACUACAGGAGCCAACGGGUCUACACAAUAAUGUAGCUGAGCUCAGUGAAAACCCACAGGUACUAGGGUUGAUGCUGGUAGGUGUGACCAGCUCUCAUGGACUGGUCCUGCCCAGAUGGAUGGUUAGGAAGCACCUCGGCAGCCCUGAGAACAAACCUGUAGGAAUACAGGCCAGCAGAGGCAAGGUGUCUGAAGGGAACCUAAGCCCAGCUA
ensembl:lncRNA